rnacentral:rRNA from 1 species
UACGUAGGGUCCAAGCGUUAUCCGGAAUCACUGGGCGUAAAGCGUGCGUAGGUGGAUUGUUAAGUGCGAUGCGAAAUCCUGUGGCUCAACCAUAUGGACUGUAUCGCAUACUGGCUAUCUAGAGGACAUGAGAGGCAAGUGGAAUUACUGGUGUAGCAGUGAAAUGCGUAGAGAUCAGUAGGAAAACCAAUGGCGAAGGCAGCUUGCUGGCAUGUAUCUGACGCUAAGGCACGAAAGAGUGGGGAGCGAACAGG